CUUCUCAACUCCUUUUCACAUCCCCACUCUAUUCCUUUCCAGUAAUUUCUUUGAAGUUUGAGCGUUUUUCUUGCAACUUUCGACAUCCAUCUUUGUCAAACUUUGCUCAUAACGGAAAACUGGUUACGGGUUGCUCGCGAAUAAUUUCUUUUUUCUUCGGUGUUUGAUGGAUUAAUUGUAUUAUUUCUAUCUCGUUUUAUUUUAAUUGAAUGCUGUAAUGUACAAUGUUAUGGUUUCAAGUACAUUUAAUGCGAGAAUUAACGAUUUGGUGAGUAAUUUAUCGAAAAUAGUUUCGUACCUAUUGUUCGUUAGACGAACCCCCGCGCCUAAACAUGUGAUUGCAUAAAUCGGCGAUUUAGCGAGUAAUAGAUCGGAAAUAAGUUUCGUAGUCAUUGUUAGACGAUCAUCCGCGCCUAAACAUGUCCUAGGUGUUUGUGCUAGAUUGCAUAAAUCGACGAUUUUGCGAGUAAUUUAUCGGAAAUAGUUACGUAUCCAUUGUUGGAUGAUCGUUCGCGCCAAAACGUGUUCCGAGUGUUUGUCUCAGGUAAUUGUGCUUAAUUUCGUCUUAUGUUAUUUGAGUGCUGUAUUUUACUAUUAUGUCGUCUAAAUUUUACUCAGAUUAAUAUGAUUCUGCGAGUAAUUCGUCGAAAAUACCAUGUAGUUUCUUCCUUGUGAUUGUUAUAAUGCUUCGCGCCUAAACUAUUGUUUGAAUCUUUGGUCUUGUCCAGGUAAUUGUACUUUAUUUCGUCUUAUAUGUUAUUCGAGUGCUGUAUUUUACUGUUGUGUUGUCUUGAUUUUACUCAGAUUGUACGAUUCGGUGAGUAAUUUAUCGAAAAUACCUAGAUGUAGUUUCCGUUUAAUCGUUAUACAAUGCUUCGCGCCUAAACAUAUUUGAAUCUUUGGUCCUGUCCAGGUAAUUGUGCUUCUAUAGUGCUUUAAAUCGCCACUGUGUGGUCUUAAUUUCAUGUAUGUGGAAAAUAAUGUGAUCAGAGUGCUUUGUUGAGUAUAAGUUCAUCUUGAGUAGGCAUACACCGCUUCUGCACCGAAAAGUAUUCGUUCGAUGAGUUAGUUUCAGGGCAGUUAACUUCAUUGUAGGUACAUUUCAACAGUACUAGGUCUCGUAAAGCAUUAUACUGCGACACGACGUUAAUCUUGUCCAGAAAUGAGCACUUUGUGUUAAUGUUACUUGAGUAUAUUAUGAUUGUACAAUCUCACCAUCCUACUGUCAUUUAGAAUGUUAUUUAGGUAUUAUAAGGUGGCGAAAAAUUCGAAUGUUGAGGCCCAGCAUAUACUAAAGUAUACUUACUUAGGCUAGUGUUGGAAAAUUACCUACCUACUGUUGACAUUCGAUCUCGCUAAGCUUUCUGCGUCGUCGUUAUCUUGUCCAGAAAUGAGCACUUGGUGUUUGUGUUAUUUGAGUAUUGUGAUUGUUCAAUUUCACCAUCCUAUUGUCAUUUAGGUAUUAUAAGGUGGCGAAAAAUUGGAAUGUCGAGGCCCAGCGUAUACCUAAGUAUACUUACUUAUUACUUAGGCUAGUGUUGAAAAAAUCACUGUUGACAUUCGAUCUCGCGAAGCUUCAUGGGUCGUUAUCUUGUCCAGAAAUGAGCACUUGAUGUUUGUGUUAUUUGAGUAAUGUAAUUGUAGAUACAAUUUUAUCAUCUUGCUAUCAUUUAGAAUGUUGGGUAUUUAUUA